rnacentral:rRNA from 1 species
AGACUUUGAUCAUGGCUCAGAACGAACGCUGGCGGCAGGCCUAACACAUGCAAGUCGAGCGCGCCCUUCGGGGUGAGCGGCGGACGGGUGAGUAACGCGUGGGAACGUGCCCUUUGCUGCGGAAUAGCCACUGGAAACGGUGAGUAAUACCGCAUGAGCCCUUCGGGGGAAAGAUUUAUCGGCAAAGGAUCGGCCCGCGUUGGAUUAGGUAGUUGGUGGGGUAAUGGCCUACCAAGCCGACGAUCCAUAGCUGGUUUUAGAGGAUGAUCAGCCACACUGGGACUGAGACACGGCCCAGACUCCUACGGGAGGCAGCAGUGGGGAAUCUUAGACAAUGGGCGCAAGCCUGAUCUAGCCAUGCCGCGUGAGUGACGAAGGCCCUAGGGUCGUAAAGCUCUUUCGCCUGUGAUGAUAAUGACAGUAGCAGGUAAAGAAACCCCGGCUAACUCCGUGCCAGCAGCCGCGGUAAUACGGAGGGGGUUAGCGUUGUUCGGAAUUACUGGGCGUAAAGCGCGCGUAGGCGGAUUGGAAAGUUGGGGGUGAAAUCCGGGGCUCAACCC